rnacentral:sRNA from 1 species
GCCAGGUGUGGUGGUGCACACCUAUAACCCCAGCUACUCGGGAGGCUGGGGCAGGAGAAUGGAAAGCCUGAGCAACUUAGCCAGACCCUGUCUCAA